rnacentral:rRNA from 1 species
GCUAGCGGCGCGCUUAACGCAUGCAAGUCGAGCGAUGAGGCUCCUACGGGGAGUACAUCAGCGGCAGACGGGUGAGUAACACGUAGAUAACCUGCCCUCAAGACGGGGACAACCGGUGGAAACAGCGGCUAAUACCCGAUAUGCUCACAGGAUCGGGAGAUUGAGUGAGGAAAGGCUUCGGUGCUUGAGGAGGGAUCUGCGGCCCAUCAGCUAGUUGGUGAGGUAACGGCUCACCAAGGCGAAGACGGGUAGGGGGUGUGAGAGCAUGGCCCCCCACAAUGGGACUGAGACACGGCCCAUACUCCUACGGGAGGCAGCAGCGGGGAAUAUUGCGCAAUGGACGGAAGUCAGACGCAGCGACGCCGCGUGGGUGAGGAAGGCCUUCGGGUUGUAAAGCCCUUUUCAGGGGAGCGAGAAAGGACGGUACCCUUGGAAUAAGCGUCGGCUAACUACGUGCCAGCAGCCGCGGUAAGACGUAGGACGCAAGCGUUAUCCGGAUUUACUGGGCGUAAAGCGCCUGUAGGCGGUCAAGUAAGUCGGAUGUGAAAGCCCCGUGCUCAACGCGGGGAAGCCAUUCGAUACUGCGUGACUAGAGAACGGCAGAGGGAAACGGAAUUUCUGGUGUAGCGGUAAAAUGCGCAGAGAUCAGAAAGAACACCGAUGGCGAAGGCAGUUUCCUAGGCCGCAUCUGACGCUGAGAGGCGAAAGCUAGGGGAGCAAACAGGAUUAGAGACCCUGGUAGUCCUAGCUGUAAACGAUGGAUGCUAGGUGUGGGCCGGAAAGGUCCGUGCCGUAGUUAACGCGAUAAGCAUCCCGCCUGGGGAGUACGGCCGCAAGGCUAAAACUCAAACGAAUUGACGGGGACCCGCACAAGCAGCGGAGCGUGUGGUUUAAUNUCGAUGCUACACGCUAGAACCUUACCUGGGCUUGACAUGUAGGUGGUAGUGAAGUGAAAGCGGAGCGACCCUUCGGGGAGCCUACACAGGUUGCUGCAUGGCUGUCGUCAGCUCGUGCC